rnacentral:rRNA from 1 species
UAGCAUUACUAGUAUUAGAGGCACUGCCUGCCCAGUGACACACGUUUAACGGCCGCGGUACCCUGACCGUGCAAAGGUAGCAUAAUCACUUGUUCUUUAAAUAGGGACUCGCAUGAAUGGCAUCACGAGGGUUUAACUGUCUCUUACUUUUAACCAGUGAAAUUGACCUGUCCGUGAAGAGACGGACAUGAAAUAAUAAGACGAGAAGACCCUGUGGAGCUUCAAUUUACCAGUACAACUAAAGACCACACAGACCUACCGGUUCCUAAACUCUCAUACCUGUACUAAAAAUUUUGGUUGGGGCGACCUCGGAGCACAACCAAACCUCCGAAGAAUCCAUGCUAAGACUACACAAGCCUAAGCAAAUUAAUACCUAUAAUUGACCCAAUAAUUUGAUCAACGGAACAAGUUACCCCAGGGAUAACAGCGCAAUUCUAUUCUAGAGUCCAUAUCGACAAUAGAGUUUACGACCUCGAUGUUGGAUCAGGACAUCCUAAUGGUGCAGCAGCUGUCAAGGGUUCGUUUGUUCAACG